UACGUAGGGUCCGAGCGUUGUCCGGAAUUACUGGGCGUAAAGAGCUCGUAGGUGGUUUGUCGCGUUGUUCGUGAAAACUCACAGCUCAACUGUGGGCGUGCGGGCGAUACGGGCAGACUAGAGUACUGCAGGGGAGACUGGAAUUCCUGGUGUAGCGGUGGAAUGCGCAGAUACCAGGAGGAACACCGGUGGCGAAGGCGGGUCUCUGGGCAGUAACUGACGCUGAGGAGCGAAAGCGUGGGGAGCGAACAGG
rnacentral:rRNA from 1 species